UACGAAGGGGGCUAGCGUUGUUCGGAAUCACUGGGCGUAAAGCGCACGUAGGCGGAUCUUUAAGUCAGAGGUGAAAUCCCAAGGCUCAACCUUGGAACUGCCUUUGAUACUGGGGAUCUUGAGUCCGGGAGAGGUGAGUGGAACUGCGAGUGUAGAGGUGAAAUUCGUAGAUAUUCGCAAGAACACCAGUGGCGAAGGCGGCUCACCGGCCCGGUACUGACGCUGAGGUGCGAAAGCGUGGGGAGCAAACAGG
rnacentral:rRNA from 1 species